AAGACAAUGCUUUCAGAGAUCAUUACAUAGUUUGUUAGGAGAGAAGUUUCUCUGAGUGUAUACAUAGGUAACUAGGACUAAAAGUAUAGCUUCUCUCCUGAGCAGGAAGCUGGCUUUGCAAAUGCCCUUAGCUAUUGCUGAUCAUGCCUCCCUUCCUUUGGGAGAGUAAGAGGGAGAGGACACCAUCCAAGU